UACGUAGGGUGCGAGCGUUAAUCGGAAUUACUGGGCGUAAAGCGUGCGCAGGCGGAUUGUUAAGCAAGACGUGAAAUCCCCGGGCUUAACCUGGGAAUGGCGUUUUGAACUGGCAGUCUAGAGUGUGUCAGAGGGGGGUAGAAUUCCACGUGUAGCAGUGAAAUGCGUAGAGAUGUGGAGGAAUACCAAUGGCGAAGGCAGCCCCCUGGGAUAACACUGACGCUCAUGUGCGAAAGCGUGGGUAGCAAACAGG
rnacentral:rRNA from 1 species